GCCCCCACCUGUGGCAUAUGGAAGUUCCUGGACUAGGGGUUGAACCAGAGCUGCAGCUGCUAGCCUACAUCACAGCCAUGCCAGAUCCAAGCCUCAUCUGUGAUUUACACUGAGGAUCAUUUCAACACUGGAUACUUAUGCCACUGAGGGAGGCAGGGAUUGAACCCUCAUCCUCAUGGAUAUUAGUUGGGUACAUAACCUGCUGAGCCACAAAGAAAAUUCCCAGUUUUGAUGCUAGACCUUAAGGGAACUGUGGGGAGCCAGGCCAAAGGACAGCGGUCUGCAGCAACUGCUCAUUUCUCAGUAACAAUCUUCUCCUCGAAAAUGUCUUGAGACCAGACCACCUUAGGACUUGCGUGCAUGAACCUAGGGCCUAGCAGUAAAUCAUUUAAAUGCUAUUCCUCCCCAAAGGCUCUAAGUCCCGGGACCCCAUCCACUUCCCUCUCACCAUGCACUGUCUUAUUAAUAGUCACGCCAAAGCCUGGAUUGGGGGGGUGACCAGAGUCUUCUCAAACUGAGUCAUCUGCCAACCAAGGUCCAGAGGGAGAGAAGACAUGCACCAUUAACAAGCAUGAGACCCCCCUGGGUAGUGCCACCACCCUUUCCUUACAUGACUGUAAAGAAAGCUACUGCGCCUUAAUAAACCUCUAGGAGAUACUCUAGAGCUCCAGGACAAUAAUCCAACAGCAAAGGGCCAAGACCACCUUUAGAUGAGGCUUCCAGACCAUCCAAAUAAUCCCGUACCUCUAGCUGCUUGCACCCCACAACAAGCAAGACCGUAUCAUUCAGUGAGGAGCCUGCCCCCUACCAUCCCACACCCCAAACACAUACAGAAGUUCUUAGAGUCAUCAGUUCAUGGUCCCUUCUUGAAUUUCAGAUUGAAAAACAACUUAAAUCCAUAAAAUGGAAACCACAGGAAUCAUUUUCAAUCCCCCCCCAAUUCCUUUGCCAAAGAGCAAAUGUUGAUAUAUUAAAAAUUGCCUUCAUUAUUCCAUUAAAUCAUUCCAGUAAUUACAUUCUCUCAAAUUUUUUUAAAAGGGGGCUUUUAAUGGGAGUAAACUUGUUCAAACUGCAAAAAGAGCUUGAAAAAAAAAUAUUCCAAACCUUCAUAGAAAAAGAUUUGUUAGAUAUAUUUAAGUCACACUGUGCCUUCCCAAAACUUUUUCUUUUUAAUUCAACUUGUUAGACUCCUAUCUCCCUGUUUUUCACGUGGAUAUAAUCAUUUCUACUAAAAUAACACCUUAUCACUCAGUUAAAUAAAUCCUUUAGGGUUUAAAAAGCAACAAAUUGAAACAAUACGAAUGUAGAACUGCAUCGUUUUAAACAGAAACCCACAGUGGGACUCACUGGUUUUCGGAGAGAUGAAGAUGUAGAGGGGGCUUCCUCCCUUCCUUGCGGAGGCUCUGGAGGAGAAUCCGUUGCCUUGACUUUCUCCAUCCAUCUUCAAAACCAGCAAGAGCCAGUCUCACCUCGACCGCAUCACUACGUCUCUGGUUCUCUCUCCGCCUUCCGCUUUCAGUAUAUAAAGACCUUUGGGAUUACCCUGGCUCCACCUGGAGGCUCCGCGCUGCACGUCCCAUUACAAGGUCCGCUAAUUAGCAAUAUUAAUUCCACCUGCAGCCUUACCACCUUUCACCUGCAUCCUAACAUAUUCAUUGAUGCUAGGGAUGAAAACAUAGAUAUGGGUGGAGGGCCUUUGUUCUGUUCAUCAAAGUGUGGCUUGGUGAGAAAUGUAACAGAGGAAAAGAGCCUCCUCCAGUCUUACCCUCCAGGAGACCCACUUAGGCACUUGGAGUUGCAUGAGUACUAAGGGACAUUAUCAGGUGAUGAUACUCAACACAGUGGACCGAAGGCUUGAGGAGUUAAUAGCUAAUCACCAACCUCAAUCAAGGCGAAUUUUAGGGACCAAGAAUCUAGUGUUCAGAAUGGUGAAACUGGCUUUUUAACAAAAUAAGGCUCUUAAAUGGACACAUCGGGGAUUUUAUAAAGAUAAGUGAAUUAUGUUUAAAAGCAAGAUUUAUGAAAAAAUAUGCACGCAUCCCAAGCACUUUUUAAACUUUGAGGUAAUUUGUAAUACACCACCACAGUUGAAUAAACUAGAAAUAUUGAACAAGCCCUAAAAACAGAAAGCAAAACAGGCUAGGAAGGAUUAACACAAGAGCAGCCUUUGAUUUUCACAAGACAAAAAGCAGCUGGGCAGAUUCCAAAUGGUCCCUAACUACCGCAAGCAAUAAAAACGUGACCCUCCUCUAAUCAUGCAUGAUUUUUUUUUUUUAUCGUCCUCAUGGCAACAUCAAACCCAUUUUAGACUUUUAUAAUGAAAAGAGUAAACAGCAUAUUAUAAUCAGAUAUAUCAAUAAAAUGUUCUAUAUGAUGGAAGUAAUUUUGAUUCAGGAAAUCUCCAACCAUAAUGGAGGAUUAGAAAGCUCAGUCUACACGUGAAUCAUAGAGCAUUUUCCUUUAGAAAACAUUUGAAUCGUCCAGCUUUAACUUGAGAUAUAUUUAGAUCUGUCUGAUGGAAGAAGGACAGUGGAAAAAGACUCUCAAAUGGAAUUCAACUGACCUGAACUCUUUGAGAGCUGGGCUUUUUUUUUUUAUUCCAAAGACCAUAAAGGGUCUCUUUAUUAUUGGGAGAAACUACAUAACAUUUCUGUUG
rnacentral:lncRNA from 1 species